UACGGAAGGCAGCAGUGGGGAAUAUUGCACAAUGGGCGCAAGCCUGAUGCAGCCAUGCCGCGUGUAUGAAAAAGGCCUUCGGGUUGUAAAGUACUUUCAGUCGUGAGGAAGGUGUUAAGGUUAAUAACCUUAGCAAUUGACGUUAGCGACAGAAGAAGCACCGGCUAACUCCGUGCCAGCAGCCGCGGUAAUACGGAGGGUGCGAGCGUUAAUCGGAAUUACUGGGCGUAAAGGGCACGCAGGCGGUUAAUUAAGUUGGAUGUGAAAUCCCCGGGCUUAACCUGGGAAUGGCAUUCAAGACUGGUUAGCUAGAGUCUUGUAGAGGGGGUAGAAUUCCAUGUGUAGCGGUGAAAUGCGUAGAGAUGUGGAGGAAUACCGGUGGCGAAGGCGGCCCCCUGGACAAAGACUGACGCUCAUGUGCGAAAGCGUGGGGAGCAAACAGGGAUUAGAUACCCGU
rnacentral:rRNA from 1 species